rnacentral:rRNA from 2 species
AGCUCCAAUAGCGUAUAUUAAAGUUGCUGCAGUUAAAAAGCUCGUAGUUGCAUUUCCGAGGCAAGGGAUUAGUCCGACCUUUGGUGGGUAUUUAAUCCUCUUGCCUCGUCCUUGAGUGGUGCUUCUUGGUAUUAAGUUAUCGAGGAGAUAGCCGCUCAUCGUUUACUGUGAGAAAAUUAGAGUGUUCAAAGCAGGCUUAUGCCGUUGAAUAUAUUAGCAUGGAAUAAUAAGAUAGGACCUCGGUACUAUUUUGUUGGUUUGAGAACCAAGGUAAUGAUGAAUAGGGACAGUUGGGGGUAUUCGUAUUCAGUUGUCAGAGGUGAAAUUCUUAGAUUUACGGAAGACGAACUACUGCGAAAGCAUUUACCAAGGAUGUUUUCA